rnacentral:rRNA from 1 species
GGAAUAUUGGACAAUGGGCGCAAGCCAGAUCCAGCCAUGCCGCGUGUGUGAAGAAGGCCUUCGGGUUGUAAAGCACUUUUGUACGGGAAGAAAAGCACUCGGUUAAUACCCGGGUGUCAUGACGGUACCGUAAGAAUAAGAACCGGCUAACUACGUGCCAGCAGCCGCGGUAAUACGUAGGGUGCAAGCGUUAAUCGGAAUUACUGGGCGUAAAGCGUGCGCAGGCGGUUUUGUAAGACAGGCGUGAAAUCCCCGGGCUUAACCUGGGAAUGGCGCUUGUGACUGCAAAGCUGGAGUGCGGCAGAGGGGGAUGGAAUUCCGCGUGUAGCAGUGAAAUGCGUAGAUAUGCGGAGGAACACCGAUGGCGAAGGCAAUCCCCUGGGCCUGCACUGACGCUCAUGCACGAAAGCGUGGGGAGCAAAC